rnacentral:rRNA from 1 species
GACGAACGCUGGCGGCGUGCUUAACACAUGCAAGUCGAACGGUGAAGCUCCAGCUUGCUGGAGUGGAUCAGUGGCGAACGGGUGAGUAACACGUGAGCAACCUGCCCCUGACUCUGGAAUAAGCGCUGGAAACGGCGUCUAAUACUGGAUACGAGAAGGGUCCGCAUGGGCACCUUCUGGAAAGUUUUUCGGUUGGGGAUGGGCUCGCGGCCUAUCAGCUUGUUGGUGAGGUAAUGGCUCACCAAGGCGACGACGGGUAGCCGGCCUGAGGGGGCGACCGGCCACACUGGGACUGAGACACGGCCCAGACUCCUACGGGAGGCAGCAGUGGGGAAUAUUGCACAAUGGGCGAAAGCCUGAUGCAGCGACGCCGCGUGAGGGAUGACGGCCUUCGGGUUGUAAACCUCUUUCAGCAGGGAAGAAGCGAAAGUGACGGUACCUGCAGAAGAAGCACCGGCUAACUACGUG